rnacentral:misc_RNA from 1 species
UUCGAGCGUCAUUUCAACCCUCAAGCGUAGCUUGGUCUUGGGCUCUGCCGGCAACGGCUUGCCUCAAAAUUAGUGGCGGUGCCAUUGUGCUCUACGCGUAGUAAUUAUACCCUCGCUUCUGAGUCACGAUGGACGCUUGCCAGCAACCCUCAAUUUCUAUGGUUGACCUCGGAUCAGGUAGGGAUACCCGCUGAACUUAA